rnacentral:rRNA from 1 species
UACGUAGGGUGCAAGCGUUGUCCGGAAUUAUUGGGCGUAAAGAGCUCGUAGGCGGUCUGUCGCGCCUGCUGUGAAAACUCAGGGCUUAACCCUGAGCUUGCAGUGGGUACGGGCAGACUAGAGUGCGGUAGGGGAGACUGGAAUUCCUGGUGUAGCGGUGAAAUGCGCAGAUAUCAGGAGGAACACCGGUGGCGAAGGCGGGUCUCUGGGCCGUAACUGACGCUGAGGAGCGAAAGCGUGGGGAGCGAACAGG